rnacentral:rRNA from 1 species
AACGAACGCUGGCGGCAGGCUUAACACAUGCAAGUCGAACGCCCCGCAAGGGGAGUGGCAGACGGGUGAGUAACGCGUGGGAAUCUACCGUACCCUACGGAAUAGCUCCGGGAAGCUGGAAUUAAUACCGUAUACGCCCUACGGGGGCAAGAUUUAUCGGGGUAUGAUGAGCCCGCGUUGGAUUAGCUAGUUGGUGGGGUAAAGGCCUACCAAGGAGACGAUCCAUAGCUGGUCUGAGAGGAUGAUCAGCCACAUUGGGACUGAGACACGGCCCAAACUCCUACGGGAGGCAGCAGUGGGGAAUAUUGGACAAUGGGCGCAAGCCUGAUCCAGCCAUGCCGCGUGAGUGAUGAAGGUCUUAGGAUUGUAAAGCUCUUUCACCGAUGAAGAUAAUGACGGUAGUCGGAGAAGAAGCCCCGGCUAACUUCGUGCCAGCAGCCGCCGUAACAC